AUGAACGCUGGCGGCGUGCCUAAUACAUGCAAGUCGAGCGAACAGAUGAGGAGCUUGCUCCUCUGACGUUAGCGGCGGACGGGUGAGUAACACGUGGAUAACCUACCUAUAAGACUGGGCUAACUUCGGGAAACCGGAGCUAAUACCGGAUAAUAUAUUGAACCGCAUGGUUCAAUAGUGAAAGACGGUUUUGCUGUCACUUAUAGAUGGAUCCGCGCCGCAUUAGCUAGUUGGUAAGGUAACGGCUUACCAAGGCAACGAUGCGUAGCCGACCUGAGAGGGUGAUCGGCCACACUAGAACUGGGACACGGUCCAGACUCCUACGGGAGGCAGCAGUAUGGAAUCUUCCGCAAUGGGCGGAAGCCUGACGGAGCAGCGCCGCGUGAGUGAUGAAGGUCUUCGGAUCGUAAAACUCUGUUAUUAGGGAAGAACAAAUGUGUAAGGAACUGUGCACGUCUUGACGGUACCUAGUCAGAAAGCCACGGCUAACUACGUG
rnacentral:rRNA from 1 species